AAAGAAACCGUCAUAUCAGUACAUGGAUUGGUUAUUUCUGGUCCAUUGUUACCACUUCUGUUUCAGCAUCUGCGUUGUUGCUCUGGUGCAACAAUUCAGUGGAAGAAUGAGAGAGUACCAAUCAAAUGUAGUGAUUUGCUCGAUGAGUUCACUACUUAUUGCUAUGCGAGGGAUCUUCCAAGGGCAAUGAACGCAUUGAAUGCCUUGCAAAUUCAAAAGAUAUGGGCUGAUGCUGUCACCUACUCUGAACUCAUCAAGUGUUGUUUGGCUCGUGGCGCAGUGGAACAUGG
rnacentral:misc_RNA from 1 species